rnacentral:lncRNA from 1 species
CAACGUCACAAUCUUAUGCGCAAAAACGCCUCAAACCAUACAGAGAAAUUGUCCUGGAAUUCCAUACAAUGAGAAACCGCGGUGUAAACGCGUCUGCAGGAUUUGCCUCGGAGAGGGUGGAGUGUUAUCGCGGCCAUGCAUGUGUCCCCGGUCCGUUCAUCCAACGUGCUUAGCACGAUGGCAAUUACAACAAGCAGGACGCAAGGUACGAAUUUUCGGAGCCGGCCAGCCUUCUGACAUGGUCCAUGACGCAUGGCGCCUCGCAAGCGUCCUGCAUAGAGGACAAGCAAGGGUGCAUGUAGCGAUGAUAUAUCUUCGUAACUUUGUUUGAUUCUGUUUAACUUUGCGAUUCACGCGUUGUUUGUUCAGAGGUUGAGGUGGUUACUGUCAAAACGGGGCUUGCCUCUCCGUCUUCCUGACGUAACGCGGCUCCCCCCGGGCCCCCGGCCGCCCAUCUUCUUGUACAGGAGGAGAGAAGUUGUCGCUUUUGCAAUGCCAGCCUCCCUGACUGGAAGGCGCAACUGGCGCCAGCCCCGCCUGCGCCAGUGGAACCGGUCAUGGUGGUUAGCCUGGGCGGCAAGGCGGUGAAGAUGCGCGUCAAGCCAGGGCCCGAGGGCAUGGCGCAGUUUCGCCAACAAGUCAGAGAACUCUUCAACAUCCCAGCCGAUGUCGAGUUCGAGUGCUCCUUCAAGUGCAAAGCGCCGUCCGGUGAGCCCGUACGUACGUACGUACGUACGUAUGUUCGUAAAGGUUUGCUAUUUUGACCGAGUUGGUUGUUGGUCCCCCCCUCGCAACAAU